rnacentral:rRNA from 1 species
UAGGGAAUCUUCCACAAUGGACGCAAGUCUGAUGGAGCAACGCCGCGUGAGUGAAGAAGGUUUUCGGACCGUAAAGCUCUGUUGUUGGUGAAGAAGGAUAGAGGUAGUAACUGGCCUUUAUUUGACGGUAAUCAACCAGAAAGUCACGGCUAACUACGUGCCAGCAGCCGCGGUAAUACGUAGGUGGCAAGCGUUGUCCGGAUUUAUUGGGCGUAAAGCGAGCGCAGGCGGAAGAAUAAGUCUGAUGUGAAAGCCCUCGGCUUAACCGAGGAAUUGCAUCGGAAACUGUUUUCUUGAGUGCAGAAGAGGAGAGUAGAACUCCAUGUGUAGCGGUGGAAUGCGUAGAUAUAUGGAAGAAUACCAGUGGCGAAGGCGGCUCUCUGGUCUGCAACUGACGCUGAGGCUCGAAAGCAUGGGUAGCGAACAGGAUUAGAUACCCUGGUAGUCCAUGCCGUAAACGAUGAGUGCUAAGUGUUGGGAGGCUUCCGCCUCUCAGUGCUGCAGCUAACACAUUAAGCACUCCGCCUGGGGGAGUACGACCGCAAGGUUGAAAC